AUAGCGUAUAUUAAAGUUGCUGCAGUUAAAAAGCUCGUAGUUGGAUCUGGGGCUCGGGGUCGUUGUCCAUCGCGACAGUGAUGACGGCGAAACCCAGCUCUCCUUGCCGGUGACUGAUGCAGUGCUCUUCAUUGAGCGCUGUAGCAGCACGGCACGUUUACUUUGAAAAAAUUAGAGUGCUAAAAGCAGGCAUGUUGCCUGAAUAAUGUUGCAUGGAAUAAUGGAAUAGGACCUCGGUUCUAUUUUGUUGGUUUUCGGAGCUUGAGGUAAUGAUUAAGAGGGACGGACGGGGGCAUUCGUAUUGCGGUGUUAGAGGUGAAAUUCUUGGAUCGCCGCAAGACGGACUACUG
rnacentral:rRNA from 1 species